rnacentral:rRNA from 1 species
UACGUAGGGGGCAAGCGUUGUCCGGAAUUAUUGGGCGUAAAGAGCUCGUAGGCGGUUUGUCGCGUCUGCUGUGAAAAUCCAGGGCUCAACCCUGGACCUGCAGUGGGUACGGGCAGACUAGAGUGCGGUAGGGGAGAUCGGAAUUCCAGGUGUAGCGGUGAAAUGCGUAGAUAUCUGGAGGAACACCGGUGGCGAAGGCGGCAUCCUGGACCGGCAUUGACGCUGAGGCGCGAAAGCUAGGGGAGCAAACGGG